CCUACGGGAGGCAGCAGUAGGGAAUCUUCCACAAUGGACGAAAGUCUGAUGGAGCAACGCCGCGUGAGUGAAGAAGGGUUUCAGCUCGUAAAACUCUGUUGUUAAAGAAGAACAUAUCUGAGAGUAACUGUUCAGGUAUUGACGGUAUUUAACCAGAAAGCCACGGCUAACUACGUGCCAGCAGCCGCGGUAAU
rnacentral:rRNA from 1 species